AGAGUUUGAUCAUGGCUCAGGAUAAACGCUGGCGGCGUGCCUAACACAUGCAAGUCGAACGUCCUCUGUCUUUUCGGAGACAGAGGGAGUGGCGGACGGGUGAGUAACACAUGGGUGACCUGGCCCCGAGUGAGGGAUACCGGCGAGAAAUUGCCGACAAGCCCGCAUAAGGUCUUCUUGGUGGAGCAAGGAGAGCAAAGCCCUGAGAAGGGUGCUUGGGGAUGGGCCUGUGGCCGAUUAGCUAGUUGGUGGGGUAAGAGCCUACCAAGGCUGCGAUCGGUAGCUGGUCUGAGAGGACGAACAGCCACACUGGGAUUGAGAACGGCCCAGACUCCUACGGGGGGCAGCAGUGAGGAAUUUUCCGCAAUGGACGUAAGUCUGACGGAGCAACGCCGCGUGCAGGAGGAAGGCCCUCGGGUCGUAAACUGCCUUUAACGGGGACGAUUAUGACGGUACCCGUAGAAUAAGGAUCGGCUAAUUCCGUGCCAGCAGCCGCGGUAAUAC
rnacentral:rRNA from 1 species